UGGGGAAUAUUGCACAAUGGAGGAAACUCUGAUGCAGCGACGCCGCGUGAGUGAAGAAGGUCUUCGGAUCGUAAAACUCUGUCCUUGGUGACGAAAAAAAUGACGGUAGCCAAGGAGGAAGCCCCGGCUAACUACGUGCCAGCAGCCGCGGUAAUACGUAGGGGGCGAGCGUUGUCCGGAUUUACUGGGCGUAAAGGGUGAGUAGGCGGUAAUAUGUGUCAGAUGUAAAAGGCUAUGGCUUAACCAUAGUUGGCAUUUGAAACUGUAUUUCUUUAGUGCAGGAGAGGUAAGUGGAAUUCCUAGUGUAGCGGUGAAAUGCGUAGAUAUUAGGAGGCACACCAGUGGCGAAGGCGACUUACUGGACUGUAACUGACGCUGAGUCACGAAAGCGUGGGUAGCAAACA
rnacentral:rRNA from 1 species